GUGCCAGCAGCCGCGGUAAAACGUAGGACGCAAGCGUUAUCCGGAGUUACUGGGCGUAAAGGGCAGGUAGGCGGGUGGCUAAGUUGGAUGUGAAAUCUCCCAGGCUUAACCGGGAGGGUGCAUUCAAGACUGGCGACCUGGAGGGCGGCAGAGGAGCGUGGAAUUCCGGGUGGAGUGGUGAAAUGCGUAGAGAUCCGGAGGAACACCAGAGGCGAAAGCGGGGCUCUGGGCCGCACCUGACGCUGAACUGCGAAAGCCAGGGGAGCGAACGGGAUUAGAAACCCGUGUAGUCC
rnacentral:rRNA from 1 species